UAAUACGUAGGGGCCGAGCGUUGUCCGGAGUUACUGGGCGUAAAGCGCGCGCAGGCGGCCCUGCGCGCCCGGCGUGAAAGCCCCCGGCUCAACCGGGGAGGGUCGCCGGGGACGGCAGGGCUUGGGGGCGGCAGGGGUCGGUGGAAUGCCCGGUGUAGUGGUGAAAUGCGUAGAGAUCGGGCGGAACACCCGUGGCGAAGGCGGCCGACUGGGCCGGCCCCGACGCUGAGGCGCGAAGGCGUGGGGAGCGAACGGGAUUAGAUACCCCGGUAGUCCACGCAGUAAACGAUGCGGACUAGGCGUGGGGGGACUUGACCCCCUCCGUGCCGGAGCCAACGCGGUAAGUCCGCCGCCUGGGGAGUACGGCCGCAAGGCUA
rnacentral:rRNA from 1 species